CCCGGUAGGCGGAGGGCGACUUCCGGCAAUAAAGCUCGGCGCCGCCGUCAGGUGGGGCCCGAGGGCGUCUGCACUCCCGCGGGGACUGAGGCGGCGCGCGCUCCAGGUGGGGACGGCGAACCCCCAGCCUUCCCCGCGCCAGGAGAACUAUGCCAUUUUUGGGUCAGGACUGGAGAUCUCCUGGAUGGAGCUGGAUUAAGACAGAAGAUGGUUGGAAGCGAUGCGAAUCCUGGAGUCGGGACCUGGAGAGAGAGAAUAACCCGCGUGCUCUCACUCACAGCGUUAUCUUAAAUAGUGACGAUGAAGAAAUAUUCAGUAACGAAGAGCAGGAAUACACGUCCAAAAAGAGGAAAAAGGAUCAUUUUAGAAAUGAUACAAAUGCUCAAUGUUUUUAUCGUGAGAAAUGGAUCUAUGUCCAUAAAGAAAGCACGAGAGAAAGGCACGGCUACUGUACUCUGGGAGAGGCUUUCAACCGCUUAGACUUCUCGAGUGCAAUUCAGGACAUUCGGAGAUUCACUUACGUGGUCAAACUCCUGCAGCUGAUUGCGAAAUCCCAGUUAACGUCACUGAGCGGCGUGGCGCAGAAGAACUACUUCAACGUUUUGGACAAAAUUGUCCAGAAGGUCCUUGACGACCACCAGAACCCCCGGCUCAUCAAGGACCUCCUCCAGGACCUGAGCUCCACCCUCUGCAUCCUCCUCCGGGGUGUCGGGAAGUCCGUGCUGGUGGGAAACAUCAACAUCUGGGUCUGCCGUCUGGAGACCGUGCUCCGCUGGCAGGAGCAGCUGCAGGACCUGCAGGUCACUAAGGUGAACAACGGCCUCACACUCAGUGACCUCCCUUUGCAUAUGCUCAACAACAUCUUGUACAGAUUCUCCGAUGGCUGGGACAUCGUCACGCUGGGCCAGGUGACGCCAACACUGUCCAUGCUCAGUGAGGACAGGCGUCUGUGGAAGAAACUCUGUCAGUACCACUUCGCCGAGAAGCAGUUCUGCAGGCACCUGAUUGUGUCGGAGAAGGGCCAUGUGGAGUGGAAGCUGAUGUACUUCGCGCUACAGAAGCACUACCCGCCGCGGGAGCAGUAUGGGGACACGCUGCACUUCUGCCGCCAUUGCAGCAUCCUCUUCUGGAAGAGGCAAAGGCCCCCCACGAUAACCCGCCGUCACACGGACUCUGCUGCUUGCCCCACAGUGACCAGCAGGAGGCCAUGCUGUCCUCUGAAAACCAGUCUGAAGAGGCAGAAGAUCCCGUGUUUAUGAAAUACAACUUGAAUUCCUCCGUGAACCCUGUGCGGGUGCGUGCCUGACCCCACCCCUCCCCCGUGGUCCUGCCUCAUGUGUCAGACGCUGCCUAGUGACAGGCCCGACGGCUUGCACAGGGUACCAGGAAGGCCAUUAGGAUCUGCCUGUCCUGGGUGCUCACCUGUCCCCAUUAGACACUAACUUCCCAGCUCCCGCCCUCAGCUCCCGCCACCUCCUGUUGCGGUGGAGAAUCUGACUACCCUGGAUGCAGGAUGUCCCGGAAUCAUCUGGCACUUGGCCUUUUGUGACCGGCUUGUUUCACUGAAAGUCAUGUCCUCAGGGUCCACGCACGCCGUGGCCCGUCUCAGGAUUUCCUGACUGCUCAGGGCUGAGCCGUGUUCUGUUGCCCAGGCGGACCACAGCUUGUCUGUGGGACACUGCUGUGAACAAGGGUGUGCCCGUAUCUCUCCUCUCUCUGCUUUCCCUCCCGUUGGAUAAACACCCAGAAGCAGAAUCGGUGCGUCAGAUGCUCAUUCCAUGCUGCUCUCAUUAUUAGGAGAUCCUGAACGACGUUCCGCAGACCCGCAGUCUGCAUCCCAGCAGCAGCGCGGUGCCUCUCUCUCCACGUUCUCGCCAACACUGUUUUGGGGCAGUCACCAUUCAGUGACAGUUCUAACAGGCGCGAGGUGGUGUCUCCUGCGGGUCUGGGUUUCUGUCCCCUUGGUGAUUAGUGGUCUGGAGCCCCUUCUCGUGUGUCCAUUGGCCAUCUGUCUGUCGUAUUUGGAAAGAUGUCUGUUCAAGUCCUGUGCCCAUUUCUUUGUUGUGUGUUUUUACUGUUGAGUUGCAUGAGUUCCCUGUCUAUUCUAGAUACUAACUUCUUACAGGCAUACGAGUGGAAGAUGUGCUCCCCUAUUGUGCGGGUUGCCUUUUCACUGUUGUGUCCCUGAUGAGUGCAGGUAUCAGUUUGAUGGAGCCCAUUUCCCUUUUUCCCAGCGUUGGCUGACCUUUUCAUCUCCUGAGAGAUCAUUGACAAACCUAAGGUCAUGAAACUUUCUGCUUUUGCCCAGAACUUUUACAGUUUUAUUUAGCUUUUACAUUUAGGCGUUUGGACCACUGAGGUCAUACUUGUGUAUGGUGUAAGGUAAGGCCCAACUUCAUUCCUCACAUGUGGACGUCCAGUUUUCUCACCACCAUUUGCUGAAAACACUGCCCUUUCCCCCACUGAAUGGUGUUGGCACCUUUGUUGAAAAUCAUGAUUGUAUAUGUGAUAGUGUGUUUCCAAGCUCUGUGUCUCGUCCCAUUGGUCUGUGUGUCUCUGUGUGUUCUUACGCUAGGACAAAACUAUUUUCAUUACUGUAGCUUCAUAGUGAGUUCUGAAAUCAGGAUAUGUCAGUCCUCUGACUUUAUUCUUUUUUAGGAUUGUUUUGGCUAUUUGAGAUCCCUUGAAAGUCCAUGUAAAUUUUAGGAUUUUUUCUAUUUCUGCAAAAACCACUAGAUUUUGAUGAGUGCAUUUAAUCUAUAAAUCACCUUGGGUGGUGGUGUCAUCAUAAGUCAUACAGCCACAGGCAUGGUGGGUUUUCCAAUUUGUCUGUGUCUGCUCUAAUGGCUUUAAGCCACGUUCUAGUUCUCAGCGUACGAUAAUUCAGCCUCUAUGGCUGAGUUUAUUCCUAACUAUUUUAUUCAUUGUUGCUGUUGUAAAUGAGAUUUUCUUAAUUUCCCUUUGCAGUUUCUCAAUGUUCAUGUAUAAAAACACAGCUGUUGUUUUUAUAUUGAUUUUGUAUCCUGCAACUUUCCUAAGCAUGCCUAUUCUGCUUUUUAGUGGUGGCUUUGGUUUUCUUGGAUUUUUUUUUGGGGGGGGGGUAGAAUCUUCAGUGUUCUCUGCAAAUAAAAUCGUAUCAUUCAUAAGUAGUUAUACUUUUUAGAGUUGGGAUGCCUUUUAGUUUUCUUGCCUAAUUGCUGUGACGAGGACUUCUAGUACGAUGUGUAUGUAAUAGGAGUGGUGAGAGUGGACUUUCUCAUCUCAUUCCUGACCUUAGAGAAAACGCUCAGUCUUUUCUGACCAAGUAGGUUAGCUGUGGCCUUUUUCUAUAUCCCUUAGUAAGUCAGGGCAGAUUUUCUGUUCUGAGUUAGUUUUUUUGUUUUUUAUCAAAUGCUUUUUUCUGCAUCAAUGAAAAUAAUGUUUUCCUCUUCAUUCUAUUAAUGCAUGUAGUGAAUUAUCACUUGGUGGAUUUUAUCCUUUAUUGAAAGUAGAAGAUUGAUGUCUCUACUGUUAUCCUGGAGCUGCCUGUUUCCUCUUUCAAUUCUGUCACUGUUUGCUGCAGAUUUUAUUUAUUCCUUUGACGGAGAGAGACACAGCAAGAGAGGGAGCACAAGCACGGG